rnacentral:rRNA from 1 species
ACGGGUGAGUAACGCGUGGGAACAUACCCUUUCCUGCGGAAUAGCUCCGGGAAACUGGAAUUAAUACCGCAUACGCCCUACGGGGGAAAGAUUUAUCGGGGAAGGAUUGGCCCGCGUUGGAUUAGCUAGUUGGUGGGGUAAAGGCCUACCAAGGCGACGAUCCAUAGCUGGUCUGAGAGGAUGAUCAGCCACAUUGGGACUGAGACACGGCCCAAACUCCUACGGGAGGCAGCAGUGGGGAAUAUUGGACAAUGGGCGCAAGCCUGAUCCAGCCAUGCCGCGUGAGUGAUGAAGGCCUUAGGGUUGUAAAGCUCUUUCACCGGAGAAGAUAAUGACGGUAUCCGGAGAAGAAGCCCCGGCUAACUUCGUGCCAGCAGCCGCGGUAAUACGAAGGGGGCUAGCGUUGUUCGGAAUUACUGGGCGUAAAGCGCACGUAGGCGGAUAUUUAAGUCAGGGGUGAAAUCCCAGAGCUCAACUCUGGAACUGCCUUUGAUACUGGGUAUCUUGAGUAUGGAAGAGGUAAGUGGAAUUCCGAGUGUAGAGGUGAAAUUCGUAGAUAUUCGGAGGAACACCAGUGGCGAAGGCGGCUUACUGGUCCA